GACGGCCCAGUGGUUAGAGCGUCCGCCUGGGAUGCGGGAGAUGGCGGGUUCAAACCCUGGCCAAGUCA